AUGUAGGGUUUAAACUUCAGGUUUGGAGUUUAGAAUGUUGUUUGUGAUAGAUUUAUAUAAUUAGAAGAGUACGAAUGAUAAAAUUAUAUGAUUAGAGGGGUAAAAGUGAUAUUUGGAUUUUGAAGGGACAUAUAUAAUAUUUUGAGAGUCCAGGGAUACUAUCGAUAUCACUAAAAUAAGUGCUUAGCGCUAUCAAAUUUUCUGCCGUUAGAUUUAUUCCUUUCAGCAUUUAUAUCCAUUAUAUCACACUAUUCAACCAACCACCCACUUAACUCUAGAAAACCACUAUCAACCUAAUUGGAAAUCACCAUCAUCCUAACCAUAUACUUUUUCAUUCAAAGGCCAAAAUCUAAUAGUGUCGAUGACUUAGUGCGAUUAAUAGUAUUCUAGCCAAAUUCAAUAUUUUGAAGUGUAAAAG
rnacentral:lncRNA from 1 species